CCGCCCGUAGCUCAGUUGGUAGAGCAGCUCCCUCUUAAGGAGACGGUCGUAGGUUCGAGCCCUACCGGGCGGACAA
rnacentral:tRNA from 1 species